CUGUUAAGGUCCCUUGCUGCUUUUGCUCCCUUGUGUGUGCCAUGUUGUUUCUCCUCUGUGAUGCCCGACUGCCAUUCACCCUGCCUUGGAGCCAGCCAAUUAUGGACUGAAACCUCUACAAAAUUGACUAUGCUCCAGAUGACAAGACUACAAGACUGGAGAAGGCUGCCCAAAGUGCACUGGGCUCCACAUGAAUGAGGAAAAAACCCCAUCCUGUUAUUGUCUAAGCCAUGGAGAUUUUUAGAAUUUAUUUGUUACUGCAGCAUGGCAUAGUAUAGUCCAGUCAAAACAAAUACUAAAAGUCUUAUAACAAAAACAAACAAUAGCCAGGAAUUUAGCUCAGUGAUUCCGCUGCCUGUCCCUCAAGCGCAAGGACUCAAGUUUGAUCCCCAGUACCCCAAACAAGCAAACAAUAAAAGAAGCAAUUCCUCUACUGACUUAGUUUUCUGUUGCUAUAACAAAAUACCUGAGACAGGUAUACUGGCAUACCACUGUUUUCCCAGCUGUUUGGGAAGCUGAGGCAAGAGGAUCAUUUGAGCAGCCUCCCUAGUAGCUGGGACUGCAGGUGUCUACCGCUGUGCCCGGUGGUCCUCUUUUCUUAUAAAGCCACUAAUGCCAUCAGGAGGGCUCCACCCCCAUGACUUCCUCUAUCC
ensembl:lncRNA